UGUAAUAAAAUAUCACAUCCGCCUAAAAUAUUACAUCCCCCAUAGAAAAAAUGAAAACGAGAACGCGCUUUCGAGUCAUUGCACUUAGAAGUGUAUCAAAUACGUCCGAAACAUUCAAUUAUAAACAAUAUAAUUAAAACGAGAUUCAUAAAAACGUUUUUUUACUAAUAUACUAUAAAUGAAGUUAGCAUAAAAUGAUACGAUUGAGCUAACAAUUUAAACAUGCGACAUUGUUCAACGAAGUCAUAUAUAAAACUUUGGUGGAAUUAAAGUUUUCAUAAGAUUUAAAAUGAACGAAAUUAAUUA